GAUGAACGCUGGCGGCGUGCUUAACACAUGCAAGUCGAACGAAGCACUUUAUUUGAUUUCCUUCGGGACUGAUUAUUUUGUGACUGAGUGGCGGACGGGUGAGUAACGCGUGGGUAACCUGCCUUGUACAGGGGGAUAACAGUUGGAAACGGCUGCUAAUACCGCAUAAGCGCACGGCAUCGCAUGAUGCAGUGUGAAAAACUCCGGUGGUAUAAGAUGGACCCGCGUUGGAUUAGCUAGUUGGUGUGGCAACGGCCCACCAAGGCGACGAUCCAUAGCCGACCUGAGAGGGGGCCCGGCCACAUUGGGACUGAGACCCGGCCCAAACUCCUACGGGAGGCAGCAGUGGGGACUAUUGCACAAUGGGCGAAAGCCUGAUGCAGCGACGCCGCGUGAGCGAAGAAGUAUUUCGGUAUGUAAAGCUCUAUCAGCAGGGAAGAUAAUGACGGUACCUGACUAAGAAGCACCGGCUAAAUACGUG
rnacentral:rRNA from 1 species